rnacentral:rRNA from 1 species
UGCGUAGGCGGAUCAGUAAGUCAGUGGUGAAAUCUUUCGGCUCAACCGAGAAACUGCCAUUGAUACUGUUAAUCUUGAGUUCGGUUGAGGUAGGCGGAAUGUGUAAUGUAGCGGUGAAAUGCUUAGAUAUUACACAGAACACCAAUUGCGUAGGCAGCUUACUAGACCGACACUGACGCUGAGGCACGAAAGCGUGGGGAGCGAACAGGAUUAGAUACCCUGGUAGUCC